UGGGGAAUUUUGCGCAAUGGGGGAAACCCUGACGCAGCAACGCCGCGUGAGUGAUGAAGGCCUUCGGGUUGUAAAGCUCUUUUAGUGGGGAAGAAGCCCUCCAGGGCUAAUAUCCCUGGGGUCUGACGGUACCCACAGAAAAAGUUCCGGCUAACUACGUGCCAGCAGCCGCGGUAAUACGUAGGGAGCAAGCGUUGUUCGGAAUUAUUGGGCGUAAAGAGCGCGUAGGCGGUCUAGUAAGUCCGAUGUGAAAUCCCAGAGCUUAACUCUGGAACUGCAUUGGAAACUGCUAGGCUUGAGUGCGGGAGAGGUGAGUGGAAUUCCCAGUGUAGAGGUGAAAUUCGUAGAUAUUGGGAGGAACACCGGUGGCGAAGGCGGCUCACUGGACCGCAACUGACGCUGAGGCGCGAAAGCUCGGGGAGCAAACGGG
rnacentral:rRNA from 1 species